UACGGGGGGAGCAAGCGUUGUUCGGAUUUACUGGGCGUAAAGGGCGCGUAGGCGGCCACCGCAAGUCGGUUGUGAAAUCUCUGGGCUUAACCCAGAAAGGUCAGCCGAUACUGCGGGGCUAGAGUGCAGAAGGGGCAACUGGAAUUCUCGGUGUAGCGGUGAAAUGCGUAGAUAUCGAGAGGAACACCUGCGGCGAAGGCGGGUUGCUGGGCUGACACUGACGCUGAAGCGCGAAAGCUAGGGGAGCGAACGGG
rnacentral:rRNA from 1 species